UUGAACGCUGGCGGCAUGCUUUACACAUGCAAGUCGAACGGCAGCGCGGGGAGCUUGCUCCCUGGCGGCGAGUGGCGCACGGGUGAGUAAUACAUCGGAACGUGUCUUCUAGUGGGGGAUAACUGCCCGAAAGGGCAGCUAAUACCGCAUGAGACCUGAGGGUGAAAGCGGGGGAUCGCAAGACCUCGCGCUGGAAGAGCGGCCGAUGUCCGAUUAGCUAGUUGGUGAGGUAAAGGCUCACCAAGGCGACGAUCGGUAGCUGGUCUGAGAGGACGACCAGCCACACUGGGACUGAGACACGGCCCAGACUCCUACGGGAGGCAGCAGUGGGGAAUUUUGGACAAUGGGGGCAACCCUGAUCCAGCCAUGCCGCGUGCAGGAUGAAGGUCUUCGGAUUGUAAACUGCUUUUGUCAGGGACGAAAAGGGAUGCGAUAACACCGCAUUCCGCUGACGGUACCUGAAGAAUAAGCACCGGCUAACUACGUGCCAGCAGCCGCGGUAAUACGUAGGGUGCAAGCGUUAAUCGGAAUUACUGGGCGUAAAGCGUGCGCAGGCGGUUCUGUAAGAUAGAUGUGAAAUCCCCGGGCUCAACCUGGGAAUUGCAUAUAUGACUGCAGGACUUGAGUUUGUCAGAGGAGGGUGGAAUUCCACGUGUAGCAGUGAAAUGCGUAGAUAUGUGGAAGAACACCGAUGGCGAAGGCAGCCCUCUGGGACAUGACUGACGCUCAUGCACGAAAGCGUGAGGAGCAAACAGGAUUAGAUACCCUGGUAGUCCACGCCGUAAACGAUGUCGACUUGGAGGUUGUGCCCUUGAGGCGUGGCUUCCGGAGCUAACGCGUUAAGUCGACCGCCUGGGGAGUACGGCCGCAAGGUUAAAACUCAAAUGAAUUGACGGGGGCCCGCACAAGCAGUGGAGUAUGUGGUUUAAUUCGAAGCAACGCGAAGAACCUUACCAAGUCUUGACAUCCCGAUGACAAGCUAUGUAAUGUAGUCUCUCUUCGGAGCAUCGGUGACAGGUGGUGCAUGGUUGUCGUCAGCUCGUGUCGUGAGAUGUUGGGUUAAGUCCCGCAACGAGCGCAACCCUUGUCGCAUGUUACCAGCAUCAAGUUGGGGACUCAUGCGAGACUGCCGGUGACAAACCGGAGGAAGGUGGGGAUGACGUCAAAUCAUCAUGCCCCUUAUGAUCUGGGCUACACACGUGCUACAAUGGCGUAACAAAGGGAAGCGAGCCUGCGAGGGUGAGCAAAUCCCAAAAAUAACGUCCCAGUUCGGACUGUAGUCUGCAACCCGACUACACGAAGCUGGAAUCGCUAGUAAUCGCAGAUCAGAAUGCUGCGGUGAAUACGUUCCCGGGUCUUGUACACACCGCCCGUCACACCAUGGGAGUUGGGAAUGCCCGAAGCCAGUGACCUAACCGUAAGGAAGGAGCUGUCGAAGGCAGGCUCGAUAACUGGGGUG
rnacentral:rRNA from 1 species